ACAGGCUGACUCUUUCUCAAGUAAGAGAUAACUCCUGCCUGGAUCCAUCAGCUAGAACAUCAGGUUUGCCUGCCUUCAGAGUUGAACUAAGAUCUUCUUGGACCUUAAGCCAGCUUUUGGAUUGAAACUUAUACUGUCAGUUCCCUUAGUUCUCAGGCCUUCAGAAUCAGACAAGAACUACACUAUCAGCCCUCCUAGAGUCUCUGGCUUGCAGCUGUAAGUCUUGGAACUUCUCAACCUCUAUAAUUGAGUGAGCCCACUUAUUUGUAUAUUUAUACACACAGACACACACAAGUACACACAAUCCAUUGGUUCUGUUUCUCUGGGAAGCUCUAAAACACUUGAUUUCAAGGCAAUUUUUUUUAAACAUAAAAAGUUUUUUUAAAUGUUUGGAUCAUCUCUUACACAGUCAGUGACAUUGUAGGGUAGCUCUCCUUUAAGCAUCUAUCUUCCUACCAUCAUAGAUGGUUUUGACUAAUUAAUUGUGAAGUCAUUCUGACAGUGAAGAAUGUAAAAAAAUUGAGAUCUGCAAUCACUGCAUUUAAAAAGUAUCAUAUAAAAAUAAUAUAUAAAAUUAUAUUCAAUAAAAGUAGUAUCAACUCUGCUGAGAGUGCAAUUUACAUUUUACGUUUAUGAUCACAUUUGAUUGGAUCUUCACAUCAAUUCUGAGAGACAGAGCAAAUAUCCUGAGCUCGACAUACAGGUUCAUAAUCUGAUCCCUACAGAUAGUAACUGACCUCUAACAUUGUGCCUUUUCCAUUAUAACCAGAUCACUCUGAGUCAUUCCCUGCCACAAACCAGUAAGACAGCAUCUCCAGUUAUUUCUCUAACUACAUAGGCUAUUGAUGCUUUUCAAUACAAAAUGUGCUACCCAAUGGCUGUUUUCUGGCUGACUUGGCUCAAUAGUCCAGAGCACAAUGUAAAUAUCCCAAGCUUAGGGUUAGAUUUCUGUUUAGAACAAGUGACUUUCCUUCAUUGAAUGGGCACUGAAUACACCUCAUCAGUGUAUAUUUAAGUGAUUAAGAUCCCAUAUAAAUUAUUUUGUUCCAAAGUGAGUAGAAGUCUGGGUAAACCGUUAAAUUAUAUCUCCCCAACUAAAGUGAAACUUUCUAGAAGUCAGGAGGUAUAUCUUAGUCAUUUCUGUCCCCCAAAGCCUUUGUGGAGAGCAGGUGUUCUAUAAACAUUGAUUAUCUGGUUGUCAUUUGGUGUGCACCUACUAGAUGUCAGCACCUGUGCUAAAGAGUUUACAUUCAUUACUUGUAAUCUUUUCAACUGUCCUUUUAAGAAGAUAGUAUUUUUUUAUUAUACAGAUGAGGGAACUGAGGCUCAGAGAAGCCAUGUGCUCAAGGUCUCAAAGAUGAAAGUCAUGGUGCUGAAACCAACUCCUCAACUGCUAAGUUCCAAUGCCCAUGUCGUCUCCACACCACCCUGAAAGUUGCCCAGCAUUGAUGAGAAAAGAGGCAGCUUCCAAGCCCAUAGAAAGUAUAUUAGUAGAAUCUUGUUGGUAUAUAAUCUUCAGAAAUGACCAAAUAAUCCAUGGGUGAGGACUAGGGCUAGAUGGGUCCAAUCUCUGUACUCUGGGUAGCUCCUCCUUCCACUUGAUCUAGUACAUUUGAAUAAGGAGAGUAUAAGAGCCACACAUAAAGCUGGAAGAACAAGAAGGUUAAAGAUCCUCUCUGGAAUAUAAAAACAUCACUCAUGGGGGUGCCUGGCUGGCUCAGUUGGUGGAGCAUUUGAUUCCUUAUCUCAGGGUUUGUAAAUUCAAGCCCCAUGUUGGGUGUAGAGAUCACUUAAAAAUAAAAUCUUAAAAAAAAAAAAUCAUUCAUGUUACAAGGACCAGGAGCAGGAUAAAGGUCUGUUCCUUUUCACAGCUGUGUGUCUGAGGCUGGCUCACCUGGUCUGAGUGCUCUUCGAGAUGAUCUUUGGGUAGUUGUUCUCAGACCUGUUUUAUAAUAUAAAAGGGAAAAUCUUUGCGAGACCAAAUAUCUUACCGAAUGACUUUCUUUACAACCUAUAAGAAGUCUAGCUUUAUUUAGGUACUCCUAAACAUUCUCAUGUUUAUUUUCUAAGAGUUUUUGUUUGUUUGUUUUUUAAUCUUUCCCUUCUAAGUCACAUUUUAGCUAUAAAGGAUAUAGUCAUCAGCAAGUGACAGUAAAUUUUCACUGCAGUCCAGAUGAUAUCAAUACCUCGAGAAAGAAUUUAGCAGAAAGAGGACCUUUUCUUCCUGGAGGAGGGAAUUCACAAAGUAACUGUUUAAGGUUAAGUUAAGCAAUUAAGAUAAAUUGUUAGUGAUAUAUAUAGAAAGCUGACCACUGAGCAAAUAUGUAUCACUGGUAUUUUUAAAAACAGUAUUUGCAACUUUCUAAUCAACUCUUAUAAAAUGAGUAAAAUCUAAGACAGCAUAUCCUAAUAUGUACUCCACGGAGUAUUAAGAGAUGUUAUUUUGUAAGAGGAUUCUGUGCGCAAAUCACUUUAGAAGAUACUGUAGAAACCUAUUUGCUUAAAAAGGUAAAAUCCUAGAAUCCUCCCCAGAGUUUCCUAACAUUCUAAUGAGAAUAUUACUCCUCAUAAAUGGAAUACAAUACAUACUAUAUUGGUCAUGUUUCUCCAAGGAAACAGAAUCAAUGAGGUACAUAUAUAUGAAAGGAAAUUAAUUUUGAAGAAUCCAUUCACAUGAUUGUGAAGACUCAGAAGUCCCAGGAUCUGCUGUCUGCAAGGUGGAAAUCCGGGAAAGUCAGUGGUAUCAUUCAGCCCAGUUCCAAAGGCCUGAAAACCAAGCAAAUGGAUCACGUAAAUCCCAGUCUGAAGGCUUGAGAUGAGAUGAGAUGAGGUGUCCCAGCCCAACAGUGAGGUAGAAAUAAAGAAGGGCAGAUUCUUCUUUCCCCACUUUUCAUUCUUUCCAGGCCUUAAGCAAAAUGGAUAGGCAAUCCACUUUACUGAGUCACCAAUUCAAAUGCUAAUCUCAUCCAGAAAUACCUUCACAGAAACACCCAGAAAAAAUGUUCAGUCUGGCAUUCCAUGACCAGUUGGGUUAACACAUAAAAUUAACCUGUAAAUUUAACACAUAGUUUUUUGCCCAAAACCAUUCAAUCACAGAAUCAGUCUAUUUAUAACUAAGUGAGGCGAAGGGCUGGCAUUUGUAAAAUAACUUGGGAAAGGUGAUUUAGAUCCUUGAUUUUUAAUGAAUUCCUUCUCAGCCCACAGCAUCAUUAGCAUCGUAUUGGUGCUCUGGCAAAGCACUGAAACAAAUUUGAUAAAUGUCAAUUGAGCCCAUUUUCUUCUGAAUCCUGCAAGUUGC
rnacentral:lncRNA from 1 species